rnacentral:lncRNA from 10 species
CAGAAUGUCUCUUCUAUCUAUGUCCACUUAGAGGACCAAACAUGACGAGGAGGAGAGACUAUGGUCCUCCCAGUCCCUGAUAAACAGCAAUAUUGAAAGUAGGCCAAUAAGUAACCGAACAAUGAUCUUUAAGUGUUCAAGUGACAGGAAGAGUCACAUGACAUAGAGUUCUCACUACAUUCUAAAGUGACUGUUCUCACUGCGUUCUAUUACAUUGACAAUACACCUAGUCACCCAAAGCUCUGAUGGAGAUGUAUAAAGAAAUUAAUGUGGUUUUCAUGUCUGCUAACACAA